UACGAAGGGGGCUAGCGUUGCUCGGAAUCACUGGGCGUAAAGCGCACGUAGGCGGACUUUUAAGUCGGAGGUGAAAUCCUGGAGCUCAACUCCAGAACUGCCUUCGAUACUGAGAGUCUUCGAGUUCGGGAGAGGUGAGUGGAACUGCGAGUGUAGAGGUGAAAUUCGUAGAUAUUCGCAAGAACACCAGUGGCGAAGGCGGCUCACUGGCCCGAUACUGACGCUGAGGUGCGAAAGCGUGGGAGCAAACAGG
rnacentral:rRNA from 1 species